UCUCGGCAAAUUAUCCUCAUAAGUUCGACAAGAAGAGGAACCAUGAAUUUUUAGUAAAUUAAUAACUCCUAUUAAUUUAUUUAUAUGGUGGCACAAAAUCGGAAGCCCCGACUGUUUACUAAAAACACAACUAUCUGCAAUUAUGAAAAUAAUAGUAUAGGUAGUGAGAUUUGCCCAAUGCCAUAUUAAUAAGUAAUAAUAAUGGGUAACUGUUUCUUUACAAAAAAUUGGUUAAUAGCGGUCUUAACUAUGAGGAUCCAAAGGUAGCAAAAUAAAUUGGCCAUUAAAUGUGGUCCAGUAUCAAUAAUUUAACGAUGGCUUCACUGUCUCUACAACUUGCUCAGUGAAAUUGAAUUACCCGUGCAGAUGCGGGUUACCUCAAAGAGGACGGGAAGACCCUAUGCAGCUUCUACUGA
rnacentral:rRNA from 1 species